GGUUUAACCAGUCAAUACAUUUUCACUCAGUCAAGUCAACCUGAAGAUAGAGCACACCUCAUCAGCUAUCUGCGCAGGAUACCUUAGAAAGUCUUCCCCGCCAAGAAAGUUGUCAUGUGCCAUUAAUGAUCUACAUUUGAAGUUGAUCUUUGUUUCAAUACCAUUGGCCUACUUCUUUGGACUGUGACCUUUGACCAAUUUCAUUUUGGGGAAUUUCAGGGUUUUUUUUUUUAUUGCUGAAUGAGGCGUAACAAAAUCUAGCACUCAUGAUUUCCAUGAAAAAUGUAUUCACUAAACAAAAUUGGCAGAGUGGUGGCACAGUGGUUAAGAAUCCGCCUGCCAAUGCAGGGGACAGGGGUUUGAGCCCUGGUCGGGGAAGAUCCCACGUGCCACGGAGCAACAAAGCCCGUGCGCCACAAUUACUGAGCCUGCGCUCUAGAGCCCACAAGCCACAACUACUGAGCCUGCGUGCCACACCUACUGAAGCUUGUGCGCCUAGAGCCCGUGCUCCACAACAGGAGAAGCCACCGCAAUGAGAAGCCCGUGCACCGCAAUAAAGAGUAGCCCCUGCUCGCCGCAACUAGAGAAAGCCCGUGCGCAGCAACGAAGACCCACCUCAGCCAAAAAUAAAUAAAUACAUUUAUUAAAAAAAAAAA